rnacentral:rRNA from 1 species
AUUGAACGCUGGCGGCAGGCCUAACACAUGCAAGUCGAACGAGUGGCGGACGGGUGAGUAAUGUCUGGGAAACUGCCUGAUGGAGGGGGAUAACGACUGGAAACGGUAGCUAAUACCGCAUACCAUCGGAUGUGCCCAUAGGGGAUUAGCUAGUAGGGGGGGUAAAGGCUCACCUAGGCGACGAUCCCUAGCUGGUCUGAGAGGAUGACCAGCAACACUGGAACUGAGACACGGUCCAGACUCCUACGGGAGGCAGCAGUGGGGAAUAUUGGACAAUGGGCGCAAGCCUGAUGCAGCCAUGCCGCGUGUAUGAAGAAGGCCUUCGGGUUGUAAAGUACUUUCAGCGGGGAGGCGUUACCCGCAGAAGAAGCAACGGCUAACUCCGUGCCAGCAGCCGCGGUAAUAC